rnacentral:misc_RNA from 1 species
GAUGAAGAACGCAGUGAAAUGCGAUAAGUAAUGUGAAUUGCAGAAUUCAGUGAAUCAUCGAAUCUUUGAACGCGCAUUGCGCCCGCCAGUAUUCUGGCGGGCAUGCCUGUUCGAGCGUCAUUUCAACCAUCAAGCCCCCGGCUUGUGUUGGGGACCUGCGGCUGCCGCAGGCCCUGAAAAGCAGUGGCGGGCUCGCUGUCACACCGAGCGUAGUAGCAUACAUCUCGCUCUGGGCGUGCUGCGGGUUCCGGCCGUUAAACCACCUUCAUAACCCAAGGUUGACCUCGGAUCAGGUAGGAAGACCCGCUGAACUUAAGCAUAUCAAUAAGCGGAGGA